rnacentral:rRNA from 1 species
UACGGAGGAUCCGAGCGUUAUCCGGAUUUAUUGGGUUUAAAGGGUGCGUAGGCGGCCCGUUAAGUCAGGGGUGAAAGACGGUAGCUCAACGAUCACAUUGCCAUUGAUACUGCAAAGCUAGAGUACAGUAGAGGUGGGCGGAAUUUAUGGUGUAGCGGUGAAAUGCAUAGAUACCAUAAAGAACACCGAUUGCGUAGGCAGCUCACUGGACUGUAACUGACGCUGAGGCUCGAAAGUGUGGGUAUCAAACAGG